GCCGGCGUGGCCAAAUGGUUACGGCGUCCGCUUCCUAAACCUCUAGAUGUAAGCGGGAGAUUGCGGGUUCGAUCCCCGCCGUUGGUU
rnacentral:tRNA from 2 species